GCAUCUUGUCCUGAGUUCCAAGUGCUCGGCCAGCCCCUAAAUACAGUCGCCCCAUUGUCUCUGCUCCUUGCUCCUGACUGCCGAUUGCGUUUGCCUGCCUCCUUUUCUGUAAGGCAAGACACCCCUGGAGAUACGCACAUAAGAAAACAGCCUCUGAUUCAAGCAGAACCGGUCUACCAGAUCUGCUGCAGGACUUAUUGCCAGUGGAAGCCAAGAAAGGAGGAGAAAAUUACUUCACAUCAGUGCAGGUCCAACUUCAGUGACAGAUCUGGUGGCCUUGGAGUGGCUGAAGACCACCACCCUCCACAGGCCUGCGCCCAAGCACAACUAUCCUUCUUUUUCUUGAGUGAGCCUCCUCAGCAUGCUGUCUAUAUCAUUGGCAGAAACUGUAGUUGCAAAGGGGGCUGAAUGACUACUGGACUUUAUAUGAAAACACCAACUUUCAGGCAAGGCUGGGAUAGGGGCAUAUUAUUUGG
rnacentral:lncRNA from 1 species